CGGCCCUACGGGUUGUAAACGUGCUUUUGCAGGGAAUAAACCCCCGAUCCGUGAUCGGGGCUGAAUGUACUCUGAGAAUAAGGAUCCGGCUAACUCCGUGC
rnacentral:rRNA from 1 species